rnacentral:rRNA from 1 species
AACCUGCGGAGGGAUCAUUACUGAGUGAGGGCUCACGCCCGACCUCCAACCCUUUGUGAACCAAACUUGUUGCUUCGGGGGCGACCCUGCCGACGACUCCGUCGCCGGGCGCCCCCGGAGGUCUUCUAAACACUGCAUCUUUGCGUCGGAGUUUAAAACAAAUUAAACAAAACUUUCAACAACGGAUCUCUUGGUUCUGGCAUCGAUGAAGAACGCAGCGAAAUGCGAUAAGUAAUGUGAAUUGCAGAAUUCAGUGAAUCAUCGAAUCUUUGAACGCACAUUGCGCCCUUUGGUAUUCCGAAGGGCAUGCCUGUUCGAGCGUCAUUUCACCACUCAAGCCUGGCUUGGUAUUGGGCGUCGCGGUGUUCCGCGCGCCUUAAAGUCUUCCGGCUGAGCUGUCCGUCUCUAAGCGUUGUGGAUUUUUCAAUUCGCUUCGGAGUGCGGGUGGCCGCGGCCGUUAAAUCUUUAUUCAAAGGUUGACCUCGGAUCAGGUAGGGAUA